rnacentral:rRNA from 1 species
AAAAAGGGUUUCCGCUCGUAAAGCUCUGUUGUUGGUGAAGAAGGACAGGGGUAGUAACUGACCUUUGUUUGACGGUAAUCAAUUAGAAAGUCACGGCUAACUACGUGCCAGCAGCCGCGGUAAUACGUAGGUGGCAAGCGUUGUCCGGAUUUAUUGGGCGUAAAGCGAGUGCAGGCGGCUCGAUAAGUCUGAUGUGAAAGCCUUCGGCUCAACCGGAGAAUUGCAUCAGAAACUGUCGAGCUUGAGUACAGAAGAGGAGAGUGGAACUCCAUGUGUAG